GGUCUUUUAAAAAAAACAUUUCAAUAGAAAAUUCCCAUCUGAGUUAAAGAAUGUAAUAAAAAUAAUAGUAAGUUAUAACAUAGCUGCUUAUCAUGUAUUUUCUGCAAGACAGGUAUUGUUUAUGUGAAUAAUGGCUGUUCUGAUCAGAAUAAUUAUAAAAAUCACUUUAAAUGCAGGUGGAACCAAACUGCUUCUGACUUACAAUGGGUUUGGUUUAGAUAGCAGUUUAAUGGGGACAUUUUAAAAAAUAAAUCAUUAUGAAUGUAAUUAAAAUUGUGCUUUAUUCAAUUUUUUUAUGCUUUCUCAAGGAAGUUAUAAAUUCUGUGCUUUGUAAAGAGGCAGUGUUGGAAAGUUGCCCUCAGUUGUUUCUUCAGGGUAAUUGUGUCCCCCUGCUGUAGGUGAUGCUGAGGGAGAAGUUGCAGCUUAGCUCCAUAUAGUGAAAAAGGAGGUUUGCAUACUUUAAUGUGGAGCCUUUCUUUCUCUCUGCUGACCUCAUGGUGGCAUCUGUACUCGUGGAGCUGUUUGUUGUCUGUUUGGCUCUCUUGUUGAUAAGUAAAUACACAGAGUGGCAGGGAGCUGCUGAUCUGCCAGGGUUGUACUGCAGCAUGCUGAUUGCAGGUCAGUGGUACCAUUUAAACUGAAUGCAGAACUGUGCAUUAGCCUGAUAUUAUAUGUGCACUAGAACAAAAUGGAUAGAAGAGGAAAAACUCAUAAUAGUCUUGACCAUAAUUUUUGCUGUUAACAGUGAAGGAAAAACUCAUAGCAGUCUUGACCAUAAUUUUUGCUGUUAACAAUGAAGGAAAAACUCAUAGCAGUCUUGACCAUAAUUUUUGCUGUUAACAAUGAAGGAUCAAAAAAAAGUUCAACAGCUGACUAAUUUUCUGCAGAAUAUAGUGUAUAACUUUACCAGGCUUCAUUCAGAGAAGAAAAAUACUCAGGUAGGUUCAGGAGGUGUGGUAGUGGUAAAUCUGUCAAAAUACAAGUUACUGUCAGGGAAAAUGGAGUGAUAAACGUAGCCAGCUUGCCUCUUUUUUUUUUUUUUUUUUUUUUUUUUUUUUUUUUUUUUUUUUUUUUUUUUUUCCUGCAACUGGAUUACCAGGUCUGCCUUAGGAAGCAGAAAUAGAAACCACUGAACUAGAAUGCUCAGAUUGUGCUUUUCUGGAGCCCAAGUUUACCCUGGUCACCUGUGGACUGAAAUAGUGCCUUCAGACAGCCCUUUUGCUUGGAUGGUGCUCCUUGAGCAGCGUGUCCAGAGAGCUUUGCCUGCUCGUAGGGAGAAGCUGUCUCCCUGGGUCAUCUCUGCUUGCCUCUCUGUGGGCUGCUGAAGCCUCGAGAAAAAUGGGGUUUGUGCCUGAGUCUUUGUCUUCUUUGCUUAAGACCAGUUAUUGCUCAAGCCUGGAGCAUUAUGAUGAAUUCAUUGUUAGAUCAGAUGGAGAGGGUGUCCUUCCUCUCUGACACAUGGUCUUUAUCCAGUGCAAGAACCUGUGGAUAUGGGGAGUUUAGGACAUGGCUUUGUGUUUGCCUCCCUCAGACCUGUGACUCCAGCACUCAUGAAGUGCUGGAGUCAUAGCUCUGCAUCUUCUUUCAGUAAGAUCUUGCUUUUUGCCCAAGGAGCUCUUCAACUAUUAUAAAAUCCUUUUUUUGCUAGACAAGAGGACAAUCUCCUACUCUUCGAGGAGAAAACCCCAAACAGCUGUGUGAUGCCAUGGAGCCUGGCAGUCAGGACAAUGAGCAGACAGGCAGUGUGGUGUGAAUUGGUCCUCCCAGCAUGGAGGAAAGUCACUUAUUCCUCAUUGGUGUGAAAGAAGAUAAGAGCAAACAGAAAACACAAUGCACUUUAAACUGCCUGGGCCAAAACUGUGAUGGAAGAGGUCAAAUAUGUGGGUUUGGUGACUUGAUUUGUAUCUUUCCUACUCUCUGUCAUCACAGCCAAGGAGAAAACAUCAAAAAUAGUGGUGUUUUACAUAUUGAAACACAGAGGAAAUAUCACCCUAUCUCUUCCUUCUGAAGUGUGAGGGAGAGAAAGUGUAACUUCUAUUUCCUUUCCAAUCUGCUGCUGAGGAAUUCUCUGCAUACAACUUGGAUAUGAUUAUGGCUGUGCAUCAGUAAAGGAGAUUCAGGAAAGUUUGGUUAUUCCAUUGAGAGGCUAUUUAAUUAGAAAUUCUCCAGGGGGUAAAUAAGCACAGUGAUUUUGGUCUCCCAGGUCUGAUGGAAAUGAAUUCUCAGGUUUCUGAUUUCCCAAGCCUCCUUAUGAAUGCUGAGUCCUUUAUACUGUCAGUCUAAAGAUGAACACCAGAGAGAGAUUCCUCAGGAGACCAGCUUAGAGAAGCCUCUACAAUGUUUCUAUGUAUUCAUGUGAUAAAAUACAGCCAUUAUCUUAUCAAGAUAAAUUGUUCAGCCAUUACUAUGGUUAUGGGCUCAGUUAUUUAGCAUCUGAAGCCUUAGAGUUUGAGAAUAGAGUACAAGAAACUUAUUUACUUGAAUGAGUCAGCAUUUGGAAUUCACUUUUCACUGCCUGCCUUAAAUACUGGAGAUGUCAAAAUGCAGAAUUUUAGGAUGAGAUCAUCCCAUCAUUCCAGUUUGGAAGACAACAAAUGAAGGGUACAGGUGGUUGGAAAGAUGGGUGGAAAGAGGACUUUGACUCCAUUCAGAGUUCUUCCAGCUUUUUCAAAAUAUCCUCAUCAGGUUUCCUGCAUUUGCUUCUCUAGAGAGCAAGGAACUCUGGGGUAAUUUAAACCUACUGCAAUUCUGGAGCUCAGAGGAUAUUCUGUCGUAAUGGCUAUUGCCCGCCAAACCUUCUAAAACUGGGAAAGGAAGGGUUCACCCUGGAUGACUUCAAAAAUACACAGAUCUUGGCUUUGGAGCCUAAGAAAAAAACAUGCUUUUAGUUCCCCUCUCCUCCUGCUAUAAUUGAACUUGAAUUCAGGUAUUUGUAGGCAUUGAGAGACAUUUUAGUUGUGCUGAUUUUCCAUUCUGGAAUCGAUUAAGACCUAGAUCAUGCCAAAUACUUAUUGAGAGGCCUCUGGGACACUUCCUUCAUUGUGCAGAGGCUCUCACAUCACCUCAGGAGUGGCAGCCCCAUGUAGCCUUCAAUGGUUGAACCCUCCAAAGCACUGCAGACCUGCUAUUUUUCUGGCUUUGCUGUCCAGUGUCAGGAUUGUUGUUAUUCCUCUUUUGUGAAGUAGAAACUACUUCAUCAAUAAAAUGAGAUGUUCUCACA